GUGGGGAAUAUUGCGCAAUGGAGGCAACUCUGACGCAGCCAUGCCGCGUGCAGGAAGAAGGCGCUGCGCGUUGUAAACUGCUUUUAACCGGGAAGAAACCCCAGGACGUGUCCUGGGUUGACGGUACCGGAGGAAUAAGCACCGGCUAACUUCGUGCCAGCAGCCGCGGUAAUACGAAGGGUGCAAGCGUUAUCCGGAUUCAUUGGGUUUAAAGGGUGCGUAGGCGGAGCGUUAAGUCAGUGGUGAAAUCCUGCAGCUUAACUGUAGACUUGCCAUUGAUACUGGCGCUCUUGAGUGCGCUUGAAGUGGGCGGAAUGUGCCGUGUAGCGGUGAAAUGCUUAGAUAUGGCACAGAACACCAAUUGCGAAGGCAGCUCACUAAGGCGAUACUGACGCUGAGGCACGAAAGCGUGGGGAUCGAACAGGAUUAGAUACCCUGGUAGUCC
rnacentral:rRNA from 1 species